rnacentral:rRNA from 1 species
GACGAACGCUGGCGGCGUGCUUAACACAUGCCAGUCGAACGCUGAAGACCUGGCUUUUGUUGGGUUGGAUGAGUGGCGAACGGGUGAGUAACACGUGAGUAACCUGCCCUCUUCUUUGGGGUAACGCCCGGAAACGGGUGCUAAUACUGGAUAUUCACUGAUCUUCGCAUGGGGGUUGGUGGAAAGGUUUGUUCUGGUGGGGGAUGGGCUCGCGGCCUAUCAGCUUGGUGGUGGGGUGAUGGCCUACCAAGGAUGUGACGGGUAGCUGGCCUGAGAGGGUGACCGGUGACAUUGGGACUGAGAUACGGCCCAGACUCAGACGGGAGGCAGCAGUGGGGAAUAUUGCACGAUGGGCGAAAGCCUGAUGCAGCGGCGCCGCGUGAGGGAUGGAGGCCUGCGGGUUGUAAACCUCUUUCGCUCAUGGUCAAGCCGCAACUGUGGGUUGUGGUGAGGGUAGUGGGUAAAGAAGCGCCGGCUAACUACGUG